UCACAUGGUGGCUCCACAGAGAGAAUACUAAAAUUGGAAUGAUACAGAGAAGAUUAGUAUGGCCCCUGCACAAGGAUUGCAGGCAAAUUCGUGAAGCAUUCUUUAUUUUU
ensembl:snRNA U6 U6 spliceosomal RNA